CCUACGGGAGGCAGCAGUGAGGAAUAUUGGUCAAUGGACGAGAGUCUGAACCAGCCAAGUAGCGUGAAGGAUGACUGCCCUAUGGGUUGUAAACUUCUUUUAUAUGGGAAUAAAAUGUUCCACGUGUGGGAUUUUGUAUGUACCAUAUGAAUAAGGAUCGGCUAACUCCGUGCCAGCAGCCGCGGUAAUACGGAGGAUCCGAGCGUUAUCCGGAUUUAUUGGGUUUAAAGGGAGCGUAGGUGGAUGUUUAAGUCAGUUGUGAAAGUUUGCGGCUCAACCGUAAAAUUGCAGUUGAAACUGGCAGUCUUGAGUACAGUAGAGGUGGGCGGAAUUCGUGGUGUGGCGGUGAAAUGCUUAGAUAUCACGAAGAACUCCGAUUGCGAAGGCAGUUCACUGGACUGCAACUGACACUGAGGCUCGAAAGUGUGGGUAUCAAACAGGAUUAGAUACCCGAGUAGUC
rnacentral:rRNA from 1 species